rnacentral:rRNA from 1 species
GGGGCAGCAUAUAGAUUGCUUGCAAUUUAUGAUGGCGACCGGCGCACGGGUGAGUAACGCGUAUCCAACCUACCCAUUACUAGGGAAUAACCCAGCGAAAGUUGGCCUAAUGCCCUAUGUAGUCGUUUGAUCGCCUGAGAUUUCGACGAAAGAUUUAUCGGUAUUGGAUGGGGAUGCGUCUGAUUAGCUUGUUGGCGGGGUAAAGGCCCACCAAGGCAACGAUCAGUAGGGGUUCUGAGAGGAAGGUCCCCCACAUUGGAACUGAGACACGGUCCAAACUCCUACGGGAGGCAGCAGUGAGGAAUAUUGGUCAAUGGGCGAGAGCCUGAACCAGCCAAGUAGCGUGCAGGAUGACGGCCCUAUGGGUUGUAAACUGCUUUUAUAUGGGAAUAAAGUGAGGGACGUGUCCCUUAUUGCAUGUACCAUACGAAUAAGGACCGGCUAAUUCUGUGCCAGCAGCCGCGGUAAUACGGAAGGUCCAGGCGUUAUCCGGAUUUAUUGGGUUUAAAGGGAGCGUAGGCUGUUUGUUAAGCGUGUUGUGAAAUGUAGGAGCUCAACUUUUAGAUUGCAGCGCGAACUGGCAGACUUGAGUGCGCACAACGUAGGCGGAAUUCAUGGUGUAGCGGUGAAAUGCUUAGAU